GUUCGCAGACACUGAUGUGCUGUUUCAUUGUUGUUUCAGUCAGGAGGUAAAAGCAGUGCUGCUCUCCAUUUUUCCCGAGCUGUCUGCCGCAGAGCUGAAAGGUGGUGAGUGUUGGCUGUAGUGUAACAGCAUAAAAUUGAUAAAAAGUGAUCAGAAUGCUGUAAUGAUAGCAAAUCGUUGCGGUCGGAGCAGUCAGCCAUCGCUGUAUUGCGCUCGGCUAGAGCUCGAGUCAAGCUUCGUGUGUUUGUAUUAGUCAAAUUCCAGGGGUGCAGUCAGCAAAUAGCAAGUCUCUCUUCCCUCCCUAACUGGGUCAUCCGAGCCAAGACCUUCAGAAAGGACAGCCAGGUUUAUGUUGAGAUGCAUCGAUGUGUUCAGCUCGUACCUGGUUUGCUGAAUGUAUUUUGUAGGCACACGAGGCAGCUGGGGCACUGGCAGGUGUGAGAGCCAGGGAAGCUUUUAGCAGCUGAAGAUGUUCCUGCCCACACCUACCUUGUCCCACUUCCCUAUUGGAGAUGAAAACUCCCGUGCGUGGUUCCUUUAGUACAAGCAGGGGAAGCAGAUCCAAACGUGGCCAAAUAUUUGAACAGACUGAGCGACUAUCUCUUCGUUUUGGCACGUUACGCUGCAAUGAAGGAAGGGAAGGAAGAGAAAAUAUAUAUAAAGCCUGAAGCGUAACUGGGAGCUGGAAUGUUUGUUUCCUUGAUCACGGGAAGCUAAUUCCAGCAGACUGCUCUACCCCGUCAAGGAAUGGAAAGAGAACAAGCCUGGGUUGGAAAUGUGAGCUGCCAAGAACUUUCAGCUU
rnacentral:lncRNA from 1 species